GUGACACUAAGGGUUGCGGAAUAGCCCAAAGAUACUACCAGACUUCAAUCGUUGCCGGAUGUGACGCACCGGUCCAACAAAAGAAGGAUCGAAACUUGGAGAUAACCUCACCAAGAAACUAAGAACAAGUUCUACAAAGAACAAAGAGUUUUAACUCAACAAAAGGGGAAAACAAUCUGUCUUAUUUCGUGGCUCUAAGGCCUUAUUUGUAGAAAUCCAAAGAAGAAUGUGCUAAAAAACAAGACAUAGAAACUAUAAAUGAAGACUUUGACUAAAGACCGAAAUUAAUGAUUUUUGUUGAAUUCUUUUUCCCAUGCACGACCAAGACUUCCUUGCUGACUCCCUCUUGGUAUUCUUGAUGAGAAUGUGCUUGAAAUGGACUGAGGAAAGGGCUGGUCGAAUUUGGAAAGAAACAAUCCCAUAAUGAACUUUUUAUGAACUUUUCUUUGGGCUUAAAAGGCCCAUUUCGCCCAGCAGCUGAACCAGCUCCAUCUUCAGUGUUAAUUGGCUCAUUCAGUUCCAAGCUAGUGUCAUUUAGCUCACUCAGCUCAUCCAGCUCCAAAGUAGUGUCACUUAGCUCACUCAGCUCAUCUAGCUCGCCCAAGUAAGUGCCACCUCGUCCAGCUCGUCCAAAGUGGAUUCUAGCUCGACCAUAUGUCUUCAAAUGUGAAGUUGGACGGGAAAGACAAGCCCCAGUAUGGUCAGAUCGGUCAUCUGGCCAUGGUUCCAGCCAAAGCUCCUUUCCGGACGUAUGCGGGACGGUCCAGUACACUGCACGGUCAGUCUGUCCGGUACGGUGAAAAACAUGAACCUCGGUUGAAAUGUUCAGAACGUUCUGAUCUCCAGGCUGGUUCGGCUCCAUGUACUGAUCCGUGGACCGCGGUCUAUCAUUCCCUCCUUCUUCAAAAGGAUUUGUCCUGAAAUCCAAAGUACCUAUAUCAAAAAGAGAUGAAUCAGAUACAAAGGAAUUAAAAUUCAUGGAAAAUUCAGGGAAUGAAAAAUAUGGACAGUAACUUCCUUGGAGUUUUGAAGUCAUUUUCAUCAAGGAAUUCCAAGUACUUUGGCGUCCAUUGGUGCUUGCUCUCCUUAGAAACUAAUCAUGCUUAUCCUGUUUAUUCAAAGCAACUAGAGAAACCACAUCAAAUCUGGUAAAGGAAUAAUCAAAGGGUUUCUCUAUCCUUAAGACACCAAAAACAGGUUCCAAGCACUUAGGAUAAUCAUCAAGGAUGUGGGCAAGCAUUAACCAAGUAAGCUGGUUGCCAAAAAUUGAUUUAUCAAUCUCAAAAUCAGGCCAAGGUGAGAAACUGUUAUGGAAAGAAAGAGACAACGCCAAAUUUGAAAAAUUAUCAUCAUGAACGAAAUCAAAAGAAUUCUUUGGCCUAAGCAAUUUUGGUUCAUGCCUUUUCCUAAACAAAAUCUCUUUCAAAGCACAGCUCAAUGAACACAAUUCAUGAAAAGGUUUGAGCAAAACGUUUUUCAACCACGUAAGAAUAUGUUUUCUCUUUGAAAUUCUCGGUUUCAAAACAUUUUCAUGAAGAGUAGAGGCAAUCAACUCAUGAUCCUUACAGUGCUUUUGGUUUAGACAGGAGAAUGACUGAGGAAACACCUUUGGUUCAUGGAGGAUCAGUUUUGGCUCAGGCCGAUUCUUUCUGGGGCAUGAAUCUCUUUUAGAAAUCUGGUACUCGCGGAUAGAUGGACUGAAGAACCUCCAGUUUGGAAAAUUCAUAACUUCUUCAUCCGUGAAGAUUUUCAUGCGAUUCCAAGCCUCAGUGAAUACCGUUUGAGUUGGCUUUCUGGGAAAAUUUGAUUCAUGACAAAAGGCCUUCGGAAUGUUGAGAUAUCCUCCUUGGACUGAACCUCUAUCGCUGGUAUCAAGGUAGCCGGUUUCAACAAAGCUUCUCCAAAACUCAGACUGUUGGGCACGGUCAAUGCUUUCAAUUCUUAGAGGCUGAACCUGUCUUUCCUGUAUACUCAAAAUAAACACUAAAAGACCAGGAUCAAAUAUGCAAGAUAAAUAUUUGUUCAAAUCACAAAUCAAGAUAUCUUUUCCAAGAACAAAUUGCACAUUUUUCAGCCUGUCAAGGUGCUCAUCAAAGUAGAUAUUACAGACAAGAAUUUUAUCAAGAUAUGCAACAACAGUAUUCAUUUUCAAGAUGGGCAUAUCCUUCCCAACAUCUGAACACACAAGCUUAAGUUCAGUUUGAGAAUCAUUUAUCAAAAGUUCAAGGCAUUUUUCAAAGAAUGUGUUGUAAACCAAAAUAUCAUCAGAACUCAAGACAACACCAUUAUCACGAAAUGAUCUCAGAAAAUACCAAGUCUUAUCAGUUUCAAAACUUAAGAGAUCAGGCUGCAAAACAGAACCACAAAAUUCAAGAUCACGAAAAUCAUUUUCAGUUUUAAGUGAUUUCUGUUCCAGCAACUUCUGAAUCAAAAUUUCGUCCAAGGCAUAAGAGGAUGCAAACAAUUCAUCAGUGAUCAGUACAUGUCUAGAAGAACUCAGAUCAAAGCCAUUUCCUUUGCAAACAAACAAAUCAAGAGAUUUUUCAGCACAAAAAUCAGUUUGUUGCAAAUCAAGAUCAAAUGGCCUUCCAAGAAGAUGAAAACCUUUGUUAUGUUCCAAGAACUGAUCAAAGCUCAAAAUAAUUCCAGAAGUGAUGCCAUUGACACUUUGAAAACGUGAUUGAUCAAGACAUUUAUCAGGUUCAAAGAUUUUUAAAGAAUUAAUCAUGUUAUCAAAAACAGAUUUUGAAACAAAAAAAUCUUUCAUCUUGUCAAGACCAAAACGAAUUACAUCAUCAGUACUGACUUUCACAAACAUGUCAGGCAGAGAAUUAAGAGAAGAAGGUUCCUCACAGUGCUCUUGAAGAUCCGGAGGUAAAGGGGCAGGAGUUGUGCCGGGAUCAAAGCAUAGAUAAUUCUCCAUAGCAAUGGAUGUGAUGCUUGUUGCUUCUUCAUCAAAGACUGGACCAGGUUCGUCCUCCUCAUCAAAGAUAGGACCUAGAUCAUCAUCCAAACAUAUCCUAGUGUCAAGACAUGGGCACUGAUGUGGAAAAUCCAGUGGCUCUUCCUCAAAAACCUGUGGAGACAAAACAAGACUACUCGGAAGCUCCGGUUGCAAAACAGUUAGUUCUACAAUAGCUUGUUCAUUAUCAAGAUUAAACUCAGUUUCAAGAGAAGGAAGAUCACAAUCUUUUUCACAAAACAUCAAGCUUUCAAUUAGCUCUUCAUCAGAUUCAUCAAAAAUGGGUAGAGAAUCUGAAAAAUCUUUAAGUUCUUCAAAAUGGUUUUCAGAUUCACCUUGGGCUUUCUUACUGAUGAACAAGGAUGGCUCAGCUACUGGGGCACGUGUAGAUGUGCUCUUCUUUUGGCUCUUGCUGAAGUCCUUAAGGGCUUUGUCCACUCCCUUCACAAGGUUAUCACAAAUUUGUUGGACAUCAAUUUGAAAGGGUUGCCUUUUUGGAUCAGCCACAUCUCUGGUUGUUUUUCUCCUUACAGCUGGCUGUUCCUGCACACUAACAAACUCAUCAAAAUAAUUCAAACGAUAUUUAAAAGGAGUUUGAGAGUUAGAAUUUCGUUGAGGCUUCUCCUUGUUACUUUUCCUUUGCAAACCAAACAUCAUAAACCUGAAAAAUCUCAACACAAAAGUUAGUAGAUAAAAACCUCACACUCUCAAGUGUUUGAUCCUCACCCACACAAGUGUUUCUCUCAGAUUUAGGUGAUCACACACAAGUUUUUACUCAAUGUUCUAAGAGAACAAAUCAAAGAAUCCCAAUGGGCAAAUCCAAGCAAACAAGGGAAUUUUCUCAAGAUAGAAAGAUAAGAGAUUUUUGAUUUUUGAAAUCCGUUUUAACCACCUCAAAGGCUGGAUUUCUCCUCAGCCAGCAGGCUUUCUCUUCCACCACCAAUCCACAAAACAAACUUUGAACUUUUUUUUUUUUUUUUUUUUUUUGAAUCAAAUCGUAAAUCUUUUUUAUAUAUAUAUAUAUAUGGAUGGUAAUGAGGGGGCCGGAUUUAAGAAAGGUAGAAGAAGAAGUGUUUGAAGAAGAUGGAGAGAUGAGAAGAUGGAAUGAUAAUAGAGUUACCGAGAGAGUGGCUCUGAUACCACUUGAUAAAACCAAAAUAAGGAUCAUUCUUUCGGUAAGGUUGAUAUGAACUCAUAUCCGAGAGGAUUGAGAACUGAUGGAUCGAGGGGUGACACUAAGGGUUGGGAAUAGCCCAAAGAUACUACCAGACUUCGAUCGUCGCCGGAUGUGACGCACCGGUCCAACAAAAGAAGGAUCGAAACUUGGAGAUAACCUCACCAAGAAACUAAGAACAAGUUCUACAAAGAACAAAGAGUUUUAACUCAACAAAAGGGGAAAACAAUCUGUCUUAUUUUGUGGCUCUAAGGCCUUAUUUAUAGGAUUACAAGUUGUAGAAAUCCAAAGAAGAAUGUGCUAAAAAC
rnacentral:lncRNA from 1 species